rnacentral:sRNA from 1 species
AUAUCUCUCCGUACGGGAAGGAUGAGAAGCUUCGACUAAGGUUCGAUUCGAGCGCAGCGAGAAAGCGUUGCCGCAGGCA